rnacentral:rRNA from 1 species
UACGUAGGGGGCAAGCGUUGUCCGGAAUCAUUGGGCGUAAAGCGCACGUAGGCGGCUUCGCAAGUCGGAUGUGAAAUCCCUAGGCUCAACCAAGGACGUGCAUCCGAAACUGCAGAGCUUGAGUACAGAAGAGGAUCGCGGAAUUCCCGGUGUAGAGGUGAAAUUCGUAGAUAUCGGGAGGAACACCAGUGGCGAAGGCGGCGAUCUGGGCUGAUACUGACGCUGAGGUGCGAAAGCGUGGGGAGCAAACAGG